rnacentral:lncRNA from 7 species
AUAUCACUCUUUUGUGUGUGAUCUUAUGCAGAAACUAAGUAGGAUAUAGACCAAGAAACACUUGCUGUGUGGCUGGCAGACAAAGAGGAGACAACAGAUAGAGGUACCUCACACAUUGACACGGAUCUCCUGGCAGGGCCUGCACUUUGCCAUCCUCCUGUAAACAGCACUUUGGGAGUGCAGGAAAAUUCUUCUUCAAAAUAAAUGCUUUCACUAGUUUGGAGAGUAGAGAAGUAAAACCUUGCAAGAUUUAAGCCUUGUUUGGGUACCAACCUGCCCUUGCUCCAGGCGCUUAAAAUACCCCCUCCACGCCCAGGUAACUCAGUCAGUCAAACAGGCUGGAGUGAGUCAUCAUCCUCAUUUCAUCCUCUUAUGGCUGUGAAGAAAGCCAAUAAACUUUGGGCUCAGAUGGUGUUUCCUGUGAGAUGCGUCAGGAUUUCCCUCUAUUCCUAUUUCUGAUCUUCGUUGCCUGUUGAACUUGCGGUCUUGCAUACAGUGGGUAGAAGCAGCACUGAAAGUAGAAAAAAAUAGCAGGACCAGAAGGGCCGGGGGUGGGGGGGAAGCUGCAAGGAGCUAAGCUUAUUUUUAGAGCAAUUUGGAUGAUUACAGUCCCUGUUCUAACCUUGCAAACUCAAGACAAGCCAGACUUCCUUUCAACACCUGCUUGCCCGGGUCAGCCCAUGUUUUCAGUAAGGCACUUUUUGAGGCUGUCAGGAAAAGAUGAAACUUUUAAAAUAGGCUUUGAAAGAAGUGGAGAAUGAAGUAAGUAGCGGUUCAGGUUCAGAGCUCCUGAUGCUUUGAGACUUUUGAUAAUUUAACUAUUCUUCACCUCAUAGGUGCCCUUCAAAUCAGCAUUGUGAUUAAUGGUUCUGCUGUCCUCAUGCAGCACCUUGGAGUUAUUAUUGCUAAUUGAAUUAUUGCAUUUCACAUUUGCUUUUGUUUCUGCAGUAGAACCUUCCAUUGAUGUUAAGAAUUUAUCUGGUAGCUGUUAAAUUUAAGAACUCACUGUUGCUAUCUGUAUUAUUUAUACCUAAUUAUAUAUAUAAUAUAAAUAUAAAUUCUAUAUAUAAUAUAUAGAAUCAAAAUAACAAAUUACAAAACAAUUAUUGGCCCAAAAAGGUGGGAAAUGGAGCUCAGGGACAGCAUGUCCGCACAGCUGAAUGACAUGGGUGGCAGUGUGCUGCCCAGCUGGCAGCUGAGGGGCUGUUUUCCAACAUAGAGCCACUCAGAGCUGAAGUUCUGCCUUCCCAGGUUUACAGAUGUGUGCUCCUUGUUCACCCACUGACCCUCAUCUGUGAGUCUGGGGGCAGAUCCCCAGGUUUGCCAGGCAAUGUGUGCUUCUUCCUGCUGUCAAGGGAAACAGUGUCUUGCAUGCAUUCUGAUUUUUUUUAUUAUUUUUUCUUGUGUCCACAGCAUACUAAUUAGUUCAAGCUUUAGAAUGAGCUGAAAAUGAGCUACAGAUGGGUGCUCAGAGCAACAGAAUGCUACUAUUUGUUUAAAGCCUAUUAUGUAUUUUCUCACCCAAAAUGCAAAGCAGAGUAAGAGCUGGCAAGAGACAGCCAAUUUGUUCUGGUUGGUACAAAAACACAUUAAUAAAGCAGUUGUGUGUAU